GCUCAAAUUUGAAAUCUUCAAGGUUUUACCUUGACGAAUUGUAGUUUAAAGAAGUGUUUUCUGUUGGUGUUUUGGUAAAAGUUCUUUGGAAUAGGACAUCAUAGAGGGUGAGAAUCCCGUAUUUGACCAUUACUUCCAGCGUUGUGAUACACUUUCAAAGAGUCGGAUUGUUUGGGAAUGCAGUCCAAAAUGGGUGGUAAAUUUCAUCUAAAGCUAAAUAUUGGCGAGAGACCGAUAGCGAACAAGUACCGUGAGGGAAAGAUGAAAAGAACUUUGAAAAGAGAGUUAAACAGUACGUGAAAUUGUCAAAGGGGAGCGUUUGACACCAGUGUUGUUUUCUCGAAAAUCAAUUAAAAAAAGUUGGAUUUUGUAUUGUUAAGACCUUAUCAGCUUACUGUACUCUUUUCUUGCUUUUUUUAAUGCACUUUUCAUUUAACAAG
rnacentral:rRNA from 1 species